GGGAAUGUGGCUUAGUGGUAGAGUGCUUGCCUAGUAUGCAUGAAGCCCUAGGUUUGAUUCUUCAUUACCA
rnacentral:tRNA from 1 species